rnacentral:snRNA from 1 species
AUGCUACGAUCAUGGGUCACUUUGAUCAUAAAAACGGUUCUUCCGGAGUGAGGAUUGGUCAUAGCACUUUCGGGUGAGUUGACCUCCGCGAUUAUUACUAAUGCGAGUAACUGGUGCGUGUAAUUUUUGAUAGCCGGGAAUGGAGUACGCGCCUUGUUUAG